rnacentral:RNase_P_RNA from 1 species
CGAGCAAGCCGGGUGAUCGCUGCCUUGCCCUAGCGUCCCGCUCUACGGGACAAGCACGGGCAGGGGAGAGGAAAGUCCGAACUCCGCAGGGCUGUGUGCUCGCUAACGGCGAGGGUCGGAGGGGGAUGUCCAAACGUCGGACCGUACGCCUCCGAUACGGAAAGUGCCACAGAAAAUAUACCGCCGCGUUUGCGCCUUCGGGCGGAGAAACGCGGUAAGGGUGAAAAGGUGCGGUCCCGGUUCGCCGGGAAUUAAAGUAAGAGCGCACCGCCUCGAUGGUGACAUCGGGGGCACGGUAAACCCCACACGGAGCAAGACCAAAUAGGAGGGGAGGGGCUGCCCGUCCCGCUACAACCCUCGGGUAGGUCGCUGGACCCCACGAGCAAUCGCGGGGCUAGAGGAAUGAUCACCACCCCGUUUUGUCGGGGCACAGAAUUCGGCUUACAGGCUUGCUCGCGAU